GAUCGGAGGUUAAAUUCCUCCCUAGCGCC
rnacentral:tRNA from 1 species